AAAAAGGGAUGUGGACAACAAUAUCUUUAGAACACAACGAUAUAAUCAGAUUCCAGUUAACGAAAAAUGGCUUUUAUUGAUUAAAUGUGGUUGAAUAAAAUAACAGAAAUGAGAUCGAAAUACAAUUAAGAUCGACUACGAAAUAGACCACUUAGAGCUUAAGGUCGAGGUUGAUGAAUGUGGUUAGGUCUCUCUAGGGUUUCACGUGUGUCUCUCUAUCUCGAUAUCUUCUCUUCUUAUAGGUGUG
rnacentral:lncRNA from 1 species